GGUGUAAACCGUGAGGAAGGUGGGAUGACGUCAAAUCAGCACGGCCCUUAUGUCCAGGGCUACACACGUGUUACAAUGGCCGGUACAGAGGGCAGCUACCUGGAGACAGGAUGCUAAUCUCGAAAACCGGUCUCAGUUCGGAUCGAAGUCUGCAACUCGACUUCGUGAAGCUGGAUUCGCUAGUAAUCGCGCAUCAGCUAUGGCGCGGUGAAUACGUUCCCGGGCCUU
rnacentral:rRNA from 1 species